UUACUGUAGCUAGCUCUUUUCAGAGACUUCUGUUACUGUAGCUAGCUCUUCUCAGAGACUUCUGUAACUGUAGCUAGCUCUUCUCAGAGACUUCUGUUACUGUAGCUAGCUCUUCUCAGAGACUUCUGUAACUGUAGCUAGCUCUUCUCAGAGACUUCUGUUACUGUAGAUAGCUCUUCUCAGAGACUUCUGUUACUGUAGCUAGCUCUUCUCAGAGACUUCUGUUACUGUUUUUUUUGUCUUAGAUUAUGGAUAUUUUGAGCUAGUCCAAUCCUAUUUAUGGAAUGUACAUUUCUGUUUGACGAUCACCCAAAGUAAUUAUCUGAGAAGUGUUUUUGGUUGAAUUUGUCCAUGAUUUUAGAAUACCAGCAAUCAUUACAAUGAUCCGUAGAGCUAUACUUUUACCCCCAGCUCACCCUUCUUGAUCUGUACAUCACCAGUGAAAAAUUCAGGUAAAAGAUUAUCAUCUAGAUCUAAAAAUAUCUGGCAUUGGAACUUUAAAGAUAGAAACACAAUAAACUAGAAACACUU
rnacentral:sRNA from 1 species